rnacentral:rRNA from 1 species
AUUGAACGCUGGCGGCAUGCCUUACACAUGCAAGUCGAACGGUAACAGGUCUUCGGAUGCUGACGAGUGGCGAACGGGUGAGUAAUACAUCGGAACGUGCCUAGUAGUGGGGGAUAACUACUCGAAAGAGUGGCUAAUACCGCAUGAGAUCUACGGAUGAAAGCAGGGGAUCGCAAGACCUUGUGCUACUAGAGCGGCCGAUGGCAGGUUAGGUAGUUGGUGGGAUAAAAGCUUACCAAGCCGACGAUCUGUAGCUGGUCUGAGAGGGCGAUCAGCCACGCGGGGCCUGAGAAACGGCCCAGACUCCUCCGGGAGGCAGCAGUGGGGAAUUUUGGACAAGGGGCGCAAGCCUGAGCCAGCAAUGCCGCGUGCAGGAUGAAGGCCUUCGGGUUGUAAACUGCUUUUGUACGGAACGAAAAGCCCUGGGUUAAUACCCUGGGGUCAUGACGGUACCGUAAGAAUAAGCACCGGCUAACUACGUGCCAGCCGCCGCCGUAACAC